rnacentral:rRNA from 1 species
GACGAACGCUGGCGGCGUGCUUAACACAUGCAAGUCGAACGGAAAGGCCCUGCUUUUGUGGGGUGCUCGAGUGGCGAACGGGUGAGUAACACGUGAGUAACCUGCCCUUGACUUUGGGAUAACUUCAGGAAACUGGGGCUAAUACCGGAUAAGAGCUCCUGCUGCAUGGUGGGGGUUGGAAAGUUUCGGCGGUUGGGGAUGGACUCGCGGCUUAUCAGCUUGUUGGUGGGGUAGUGGCUUACCAAGGCUUCGACGGGUAGCCGGCCUGAGAGGGUGACCGGCCACAUUGGGACUGAGAUACGGCCCAGACUCCUACGGGAGGCAGCAGUGGGGAAUAUUGCACAAUGGGCGGAAGCCUGAUGCAGCAACGCCGCGUGCGGGAUGACGGCCUUCGGGUUGUAAACCGCUUUCGCCUGUGACGAAGCGUGAGUGACGGUAAUGGGUAAAGAAGCACCGGCUAACUACGUG